GGGAACCACUUACCAGCCCGCCUGGGAAAGCGCCGCGCUGGGGACCUCGGCCAUGGUGGCUUCUCGGGCCGAACAUCACUGGACCUGAGACAAGUUUGGAGAACUGCCAAGAAUAAUUGUGCUCCUGGUGACUAUAGCUGUCAUUACAACAUCUAAAGUUCAUAAAAUAGAAAGUAAGGACGUAUUGAGCACCCUUGCGGCACACCUGUGAAUUUGAGGAUGGGAGGUAAAACCUGGACCAAAUCCAGGGGCCCAGAACAUCGGUCAAGUUUCUGGGGGUUGUCUGGUCAGCUUAGCACUCCUUGUGGCUUGGCUUGUGCCGGCUACAGGGAACGUCUUCCUUCACUGGGCGAGCACCAUGGCCUCUGCAAUGAACCAGUCUGAUUGCUACCCAGAUUGUGCCCACCUGCCAGUGUCCACUGUGUCAGGUAUCCCGUGGUGGUUAUCCCCUCUGCGUGGGACCGACUGGACUGCGGUGCAAACCUGGGACGGAGUAGUGGCCGCCAGCCUGUGGCCUGUGGAGAGCCAAGAACCUGGACACAAUCGCACCUUCAGUAGUGGCCAAACCCAUUCCGAGGCCCUGCUGCAAGCCCGAGACCUGUUCAACACCACUUGGAAUUUGGACACUUACCAACUCUGGAUUGGUCGGAUGUGGGUGACAGUGGGGUCUGGGCAAUUAGCUGCCUCUUCCAUGCUCUGCUGAGGACAGCAGGAGGACCCAGUAUGGUGUUUAAGUAUAGCAGGGUGACCCUGUUGCUCCAUGCCUCCCUUAGGGGUGUGUUGGACCUCCCCCCCCCCCAGGCAUUAUGCAACUACACCUGGCAGGUGAAUGGUACAUAUUGGCCUGGCUCAAAGAACAUGUCUGAGUCGACUUUGGUCCACUUGGCCCCAAAUGGGACAUAGUGGAUCUGUGGACCCUAUCUGUGGCCAUGGCUACCUGUAGGUUGGCUAGGCCAAAGCACCAUAGGAUACGUUUUUUCCCAAGGGCAGGUACAUAGGCACCUGCCAGCCACAGUUUCAAACCUGACCCUUGUACUGGCUUGUUGGACCAGGGAGGUAUUCCAAUGGUAUAACCACCUCCUAAACGUAUUUACUCCUGGGAUAGGUCUAGAAUUAGUAAUGAUGCAAGUAGAAGCUUUGAACACUUUUACGCAAGUUGCUAUAAAUGAUAGCUACCACAGUCUGUCCCUCAACAUCGAAGUGGCACAUAUGCGAAAGGUAGUGUUACAGAACUGCAUGGCCCUUGACAUUCUAACUGCUGCCCAAGGGGGAACUUGCGCUAUAGUACGUACCACGUGCUGUGUAUACAUUCCUGAUGAAGAGGGUAAUGUGACUCAUUAUUUAGAGCACAUACAGCAGGAAAUAGAGCACCUUUCUGCCCCCCAGGGCAGCAUUGACAAGUGGUUGCAGGCAUGGGGAGUGGGCUGGAGGCAUUACAUGCUCUAUGUCCUCUGCGCAGGAGGUAUCCUGCUCCUCACUUGCAUGGGUAUAUAUUGUUGUUGUGGUAUGUACCUCCUGAGUGUCAGCUUUUGUGGGGCACAAAUCGCCUCCCUGAUGUUGAAGCCCCUUGUGAACUGCUCAGGGACCUCUGAGGAAGACUAUUAGGCUAAGAUUGUGUGAGCGGGUCAGAAGGGGUGGAGUUUGGGGAUGUUGUGCCCCGACUCUGACCCACCAGAGUUUCAAGACCGAGGCUGUGUCUUCCCGGUUAUGGUAUGCGCCCUGGACAUGUGCAGAUCGAGCUGGUAAACACUUUAUCUAAGCUGUUUUGCUUUUGUAGUGAUGUCAUGCAGCAUAUAAAGGGGUGGCUCUAGUUAGGCGG